AUCCGACAUAUCCGCUAGCUUCUAAGCUCUGUAUCGGACCAAAGAGACCCCGGUCACCUGUGGUCUUCUCCUCCCCGACCUUCGGGUGAGAGCGAGCGAUCAUGGCGGCGAAGCAAGUGCAAGAGGAGCAGGCGCUAGCGGUCCCGCACGGCUCACCACACUGGGAUGAUCCCCGAGUGCCGUCUAUGGCGAUCCUCUCUCCACCGUCAACCAUAAGAUGGGUUGCAUGAUGCCAUUUUUGCUGGAGUUUGCAUCCUUUGCCCCACCAUGGACUUACCCCGCUGUGGACAACAAGGUUUCUGAAUCCGAGAAAUCAGAUCCUUGUCUUGUUGUGGAUCCAAUUGGCUGGGCUGUGAAGAAUCUAUUAGACAAUAACAGAAAGGCCACAUAUUUCAAGAGCAAAUGUUAUACCUGUGUUACUGUGGUUUUGAUGACAUCUUGAGAUAGUUUAUGGAAUAAUUUAGUAGAUUGAUAUAAGAAUUCUUAUAAUAUUGCUGUUUGAUUUAGUCAUUUAUUGUUGUCAGUUAUAUGGGGGAAUUGUAAGCUAGUUCUCCAUGUAGAGGUGUCCCAAAAUUUGUUUUAAACUGAUUAUGUGGGAGGCAAGGAUGUCAUGGGAGAAAUGUUAGGAAUUAUCAUCUCUAUUGACCGAGUUGAGGUGCUUAAUGUCAAGGAGCAUAUAUUGGGUGGACAAACAGUUGUUAGAGAAACAAGAUUUACCUUUUGGCUCACUGUCGCACCUUCCCAUUCACAGAACUUGCAGGGGAUGCAGAUCUCUCCUGUGAAACAUUUGUCUUUAUCUGUUUGCCAAGCCUGUCCAACAGUUCAAGAAUUUCUGUACAUUCACUCUUCAUUGUUCGUGCACAAAAACAAAGCACCAGAAUCACAUGUAGUGACAGUUAAAGUAACCAACUGGAGACCGGCAAUCGAAGUCACGUUAAGAUUGUGCAGGCUCAAUAGUCUCUUUUUUCUCUCAGCUGAUCUUUUGUGGCAGAUUCAAGCAGGUUGUAGCAAGUGAUGGGUUUCUUUAUAUGCCAAAUUCAGGCCAGUGGUACCAGCAUGUUAGUUUUACAGCUAUGUAAAACCUCAUGAAAUUAGAAAAAGGCAGUUGUGUCGGAGGAACCUGUAAAAUGGAACUCAUUCUCUGUACUGCAUCUAAGUUCGGAUUGAUCAACAGAACAUUGAAAGAUCAUGCUAGGUUUUGUAAACUCUGUUUAUCUUCACCAAUUCUCUUACAUCAAACAGUCUAACACAUGAUCCUUGUUUAUCUUGCUUUAUCCUUGAAUCGUUGCAAAAUCAGACAGGACAGAAAAGGGCAAGAGAUCAUGAAUAAGUUUCACUAAAGGUCAUGGCAUGUCAUAAUUUGUAUUCACCCACUUCAUAUGACAGUUGCAUUUGCAUUUCUUUGUGCAAGAUGAUAUCAAUUGCAGGGUCUCCUCCAUACCGCUGCUCAGUUUACAAGAUGCACAAAAAAUUUAGGUGCAAGUCAUUAGUAGUGUAAACAAGCUUCCACCAGAUCCUAGAGAAAUUGAUGUCAGAAAUUGCAAGGGUAUGGAUUCUAGAGAACAUAUGAGUUCUGUUCUUGGUGUACCUUAAACUUCUUGAAAGUGUGGAUCAAUAAGAUAAUAGUUAAAAAUAAGAGGAUACAAAUCAUCUGAUAUUGCUUCAUAGAAACUGAUGAGUUGAUCGAUCAGCUUUUGGAACCUCCCCCCCUUCCUGCUUUUUUAGGGAGGAAGUUGGUGCAUGAGAACUUUGGAUCUUUGAUAGAACCCACUCCUGAUAAGUUCCUCCCUGAUGCGGAGAUGUUGCCUCCUCAGAUUGUGCAGUGUCUGAGAAGACCAAACACAAGAAUGACCAAGAAGUCUGAAGUUAACGAAGGUGAUUAACUAGGUAUAAUCACCUAUAAUUUAAAGAUGCUUUUAUGAUGUAUCUGCUAUAUGCCAACAAAUGUGGUCUGAUGCAUUUUCUAGUUGCUCCUAGGAGAAGGUAAUUGCAGUCCGAUAAUGUAUGCUUACCGAGAAGAUUCAUGGAGCCUAUGACUUUUGAUUAUCCAUAUCAGAGUUGAUGAAAGUUAUGCAGUCGUUUUCCAAGAAAGAGGAUAUGACAAUAUAUUGAGUAUCCAACAUCAGAGAGAGCACUGAGGAGGACAGAAUACGCGCAUGUUUCUUGUUGUUUAGAAGUUCUUUUACAUUUUUUAAAGAACGUUUUUCUCAAAAACAAUUAAGUG